GCAUCGGUGGUUUAGUGGUAAAAUUAGCCGUUGCCAUCCAGCUUUUACAGCAGGACAGUUUCGGCUAGCCCCGGGUUCGAUUCCCGGCCGAUGCA
rnacentral:tRNA from 2 species